AUCGUGCGGCUGCACACGCUUUGGGUCCAUGCAUUUCUCUAAUCGAGCUGUAACACUUGCUGCUGCGGUCCAUGGCUCCAUUCCUUGAAGCCCACGAGACCAGGAACCCUUGGAUUGAGAAAAAACCUUCAAUUGGGAGGAUACUUCUUAUCUCAUUUCUAGGGGCCCAUCCGGGAUUUCUCCACAGCAAAAGAUGAUUCUGAACACAUUGAAUAAAGAAUUCUGGCCAUCAUUUCAAUACUGUCUACUUAGCCUUGACUUAACCAUGACAACGGUGUCCUAACUUGUCUUCCCAUAUAC
rnacentral:lncRNA from 1 species